rnacentral:rRNA from 1 species
GACGAACGCUGGCGGCGUGCUUAACACAUGCAAGUCAAGGGGAAAGGUUUCUUCGGAGACUGAGUAUACUGGCGAACGGGUGAGUAACGCGUAGGUAACCUGCCUAUAAGUUUGGGAUAACACGGCUAACGCGGUGCUAAUACCGGAUGACGCAUCAUUUUUUGCAUGAUAAUGAUGUUAAAGCGGGCUUUCGGGCUCGUGCUUAUAGAUGGACCUGCGUCCCAUUAGCUGGUUGGCGGGGUAACGGCCCACCAAGGCGACGAUGGGUAGCCGACCUGAGAGGGUGAUCGGCCACACUGGGACUGAGAUACGGCCCAGACACCUACGGGUGGCAG